AGGGCACCACCAGGAGUGGAGCCUGCGGCUUAAUUUGACUCAACACGGGGAAACUCACCCGGCCCGGACACCGUAAGGAUUGACAGAUUGAUAGCUUUUUCAUGAUUCGGUGGAUGGUGGUGCAUGGCCGUUCUUAGUUCGUGGAGCGAUUUGUCUGGUUUAUUCCGAUAACGAGCGAGACUCUGGCCUACUAAAUAGUUGGCGCAUUGCUACUGUGCGCACAACACUUCUUAGAGGGAUUUUCGGUGUUCAGCCGCACGAAAUUGAGCAAUAACAGGUCUGUGAUGCCCUUAGAUGUCCGGGGCUGCACGCGCGCUACACUGAAGGAAUCAGCGUGCUAAAACCAUUGUCGAAAGGCAUUGGUAAACCCCUCAAAAUCCUACGUGAUUGGGAUCGGGAAUUGCAAUUAUUUCCCUUGAACGAGGAAUUCCCAGUAAGUGUGGGUCAUAAGCUCGCGUUGAUUACGUCCCUGCCCUUUGUACACACCGCCCGUCGCUGCCCGGGACUGAGCCGUUUCGA
rnacentral:rRNA from 1 species